CACAGGUUGAGAAGCACUGUCCUAUGGCAUAGAUAAGAACUAAGAUCCACGUAUAUUAUAUUUGGGUGCUGUGUCUGACUUUAGGAUUCCUGGCAGUAAAGGACAAGAUGAAGCCAUGUUGUUUUAAGAGGUUUGUGCCUUAAUGAGGAGCAGCACAACUGCAUUUUCAGGGAUGACCUGGAUGACACGCUGGGGAUCGUGACUUGAAGCCCUGCAGAAAAGGUUUCAUUGCAUCUGUGCAGAAAUCAGAUGGCGAUCGUUGACUGAUGCUCCCUGAGCCCAGGACAGGUAAUACAGAUGGACGCUCAGUCACUCACUCUCAGCACCUUGACCACAAGUCUCCGGAUUUAUCACAUUUGCUGAGAAGAAGCUUCGUGGACCAAGGCUGGGGGCCUCACUGGUCUGCAGGUAGCAUACACAUUAGGUAUUUGACCUUAAGUA
rnacentral:sRNA from 1 species